CUACAGAAGAGAGAGGAACUUCCAUAUUCACCAGAGAUCAACACAGACCAUCAUCAUCACCAGAGAUCAACACAGACCAUCAUCAUCACCAGAGAUCAACACAGACCAUCAUCAUCACCAGAGAUCAACACAGACCAUCAUCAUCAUCACCAGAGAUCAACACAGACCAUCAUCAUCACCAGAGAUCAACACAGACCAUCAUCAUCACCAGAGAUCAACACAGACCAUCAUCAUCACCAGAGAUCAACACAGACCAUCAUCAUCACCAGAGAUCAACACAGACCAUCAUCAUCACCAGAGAUCAACACAGACCAUCAUCAUCAUCACCAGAGAUCAACACAGACCAUCAUCAUCAUCACCAGAGAUCAACACAGACCAUCAUCAUCAUCACCUUCAUCAUCAUGCUGUCAUUAGACUAUUGUUUACAUUCCCUUCUGUUAGUCUCCAUUCUAAGAGGCGUCAGCGGUGAAGAUCUCUCUCCAUUACAGACAGAAGAGUUCAGGUCAGAAGGCAGCACUGUUACUCUGUCCUACAGAUACUCCAAAACUAUAACAGUUAGUGAAUAUUUCUACUGGUAUCGACAAUAUCCAGGAGAACCACCAGAGUCUAUUCUCUACAUCUCUACAACUUCUACAAGACUAGCAGACUCUCUGAAAUCAGACAAAAGGUUCUCUUCUAAACUGUCUGAAGGAAGGAACAUCGAUCUGCAGAUCUCCUCUGCUGCAGUGACAGACUCUGCUGUGUACUACUGUGCUCUGAGGCCCACAGUGACAGGAAACACCAACACUCUGUACAAAAACACCAGCUGACACACUGACAAGCUGCUGGAAGCCUUUUCUCCACACUGGUGUACUGAGCUGUUCACCUCCACUAGAGGGCCACAUCAUCAAGUAGGCGGUGCACGACUUCUGCACUGUGUUCAACCAUUCAGUCAAUAAUAAGUGCUGCUGUGAAGAGAACAAUCCUCACCCUGAAUGCUGAGCAUCAGCUACUUCCUGCUGCUGAUUUAAACCUUGUUGUAGAG